CCUUCUCAGCUAGCCUUUAGAUUUGUCUGCUAACAGUAAAAAUACUAUAAUAAAUCGGUAACAUAUGUUGCCAGGCACGGAAAAGUGAUAUAAAUAAAGAGACUAGGAGACCCAAACCAAGCACAAUGUGAAAAGAAUUUAACUUUCAAUCUAUUCGCUGCCUAAUUACCAUUUGAAAAGUUAUUUGAAAGUGUUACUGUUAUUUGCUUAUAUUCUUCCUCAUUUUUCUUUUUUUCUCUUCAGAUUGCAUUAUUACCCAAAUACUCUUCGUGAUUGCCUGCUUUGCGGCUUUGGGCAAGUAUUUGUCAAGAAGAUCUAUGAGAAGGAGCCUCACAGGCACCUUACAAAUAAGAAUUUUCCUGCUAUGAAAUGAUGCCUUUUGUGGCGAGCACAAUAGCAAGUGUUUGAGCAUGGCUGUCCUUCCUUGGGCUCCUCAUCCCAGCCUGCACAGAGGUAUGCCCUCAGAACUGGACCUUGACUCUACAACCUCAUACAAAGCCAGGCAAUCCUUGAGCCAAACAAACAAAGGGGGGUGUAAGUGAUUUCAUUUAUUUUGAUAAUCCUCCUCCUGCACGGGAGCAUUUUGCUGUCUUUGUCAAAGUGAAUGACAACAAUUUGGCCAACUCUCUCUGAGCUGCACUCAACAGUGACAGGCAAAUUAUCAGAGGCCCUGCACUUCUUAUUAUCAGAGGAGAAGCCAUCAGGGGGACGCAUGGAGGAUACCUCUCCCUUGUCACUAUUUGUCAGUGGGACAAGGGCCACUGCUAUGGGUAGCUGACAGGUAAUUUCAACAAUAACAAUUACUCCUAUUACUGGUGUCAUAAACAAUUCGCCCAAGGCAUGACAAUAGCAAAGCUUUAUAAUUCAAUGCCAUAUAAAUAAAUGCCAGCAGGUAACAAGUAAUUUAGCUCCAAUCAAGCUUUCACCCCGGCAUUAAUAUUGUUAUUGCAAGAAAAUGGAAAAUUGAAAAAAUUCAAUAUGUUAAUGAAUUAAGAAAGGUUCAGGGGCUAUGCAACAGAAGUUGAAAAGGGAAACUAAGAUUACUAAGGUAUCAUACUUGAUGCCAUCCUAAGGGCCAACAGUCAUAUAAUCAAUUGAAACAAAAAGAGGAACCUGGAGCAGUGUUGCCUUAGACUCCGGACCUGGGAAAAAUGGAAAAUGGCCUUUGAAAAAAAAAAAAAAUCCACCUCUCUCCAAUUUCUGAGGACUCUCAGUAGAAAUGUAAGAAUGUAUAUAUCAUGGAGCAUUUCACUGGCUUUCUUUUUCCACCUGAAAUAUUUCCUAUGAAGCAGGGAGAGGCGUGAGUGAGUAUCCAAGGAAUAUUUCCAUCUGUUGAAGAAAGUCGCGUGAGCACCUGCUUCCUGUACAAUGCUGUUUGCCCUUUCCCAACAACCACGCUUGAACAUAAUUAUGCUGCCUCAAACCCGGGCUGCAGAGAGAGCAUCCCUGAUAUAACCAAGUUCCUGUUAACUCCUGAAAUUCUGAAUUCCACGGUGCCCGGAUCCCGACGUCCUGAGAUCACAGACCACGUGUCGUCUUCAGCCCCAAGAAGCCCCUUCGCCUCCUCCCCGGGCAGACCUCGCCAAGCUGUUAACUCCCUCCCGCCCCUGCCUUCCUCCGCCCCCCGCCUCCACCCCGUGCAACAGGAGUGGCACGAUUAAAAAUGAGGAGAUUUUCUUGUUAUUAACAAAUUUGACAUUUGCCUGAUGAAAUGCGCAUACAAUGGGGAAGCGAGGCAGUCCUGGGAAGGAAUGCCUCCCCUCCCACACCGGCUACAGGAUGAGACCAUUUAGGUGAAGGAAGUGUAACGAUCCUUGUCUGUCUCCGCUGUGCAGUGCUGGGGUUGUGUUAUAAAUGAAGGCGCCGAACAGCGCGGAGCUUUCAGACUGAUAGCAUGUUGACACGUGUGACGUGCGCAGUGUUUCAUCUCUCACCUUAGCUGCCUAAACAGAGCACAUAUGCUCCAAUGCGGUCAUUUGCCUCGCGAGUCCAGCCUCUCCCUGGUGACACCUUGGGGCUGGGGUUUUGUUCAUUUCUAGAGAAAAAUGUGGUCUUACACCCCCCCCCCAAACAGGUUGAUGAUUUCAGCUUUUCUACUUCUAAAGCUCAUCAAAUCAAUAUUUUACCAACACGAUGCUAAUUUAAAACACCAUCAAAUAACACUGCGGAUACAUAUUGAAAACAUAUUUUAAUGGCUUUGUUUGUUUUGGCAUCAUAUGAACCAAGGACGAUUAAAUUAAAAAGAGACUUUUAAAAGUUAGAGAUUGCCUUUUUAAAGCUUAUUAAAAUCAGCAUGUUACAUGCCUGUCUGUGAAUUAGCUCUACACACUUGAUUGCCAUCAUUAAAACUAGUUGUUUGGGUGCUGCUCAAAGCCGAUUCUGACUAGUUAUUACUUGAAAUCUCUUUCAACGGAAAUGAAAAAAAAAAAAAAAACGCAAAAAAUCUUUCUAAGUGGAAGAAGAAAACAGUCACCAAAAUGUGAGCUGGCACAGCGACACAGCGGCAGCAAACCCCAGACAGACCAACAGGUAAACUCACAACAGGAACAUCCAACACAGGGAAAAACAAAACCAAACCCAACCCACGCAACAGCAACAAAGACGCAGUCCAUUGAUUAUAUUUCCUGAAAGCCUUAAAACAAAUGUUUGAACAGUUUCCUGAGACAGUGCAGAGAACCUCUGCCUGCUCCGCUGGCUGCAGGGACAAUGGUCUA